rnacentral:rRNA from 1 species
AGAGCGAACGCUGGCGGCGUGCUUAACACAUGCAAGUCGAGUGCGCGCCUGUAGCAAUACAGGUGGCGCACGGCGCACGGGUGCGUAACACGUGGGUAAUCUGCCCUUCGAUGGGGAAUAACUCCGGGAAACCGAAGCUAAUUCCGCAUAACAUUCCUUGAACUUCGGUUUGGGGACUCAAAGCCGUAAGGCGUCGGAGGAGGAACCCGCGCACGAUUAGCUAGUUGGUAGGGUAACGGCCUACCAAGGCUUUGAUCGUUAGCUGGU